rnacentral:rRNA from 1 species
GAUGGGGCUGCGGCCGAUCAGGCCGUUGGCGAGGUAACGGCUCACCAAACCUUUGACCGGUACGGGCCAUGAGAGUGGUAGCCCGGAGAUGGACACUGAGAUAGGGGUCCAGGCCCUACGGGGCGCAGCAGGCGCGAAAACUCCACACUGUACGUAAGUACGAUGGGGUUACCUCGAGUGUAGUCUGUAAAAGAUUGCUUUUCCAUAGAGUAAUAUCCUGUGGGAAUAAGAGGGGGGCAAGACUGGUGUCAGCCGCCGCGGUAACACCAGCCCCUCGAGUGGUAGGGACUUUUAUUUGGCCUAAAGCGUUCGUAGCCGUCUGUAACCGUUGCCCGUUAAAUCCAGCGUCUCAAGCGUUGGACUGCGGGCGAUACCUUACAGAUUGAGGGUGGGAUAGGUAAGCGGUAUUUCUGGGGUAGGGGCGAAAUCCUUUGAUCCCAGGAGGACCACCAGUGGCGAAGGCUGCUUACUAGAACACGCCUGACGGUCAGGAACGAAAGCUGGGGUAGCGAACCGGAUUAGAUACCCGGGUAGUCCCAGCUGUAAACGAUGCGCGCUAGGUGUUGGGUCGGCCAUGCGCCGCCCCAGUGCCGCAGGGAAGCCGUUAAGCGCGCCGCCUGGGGAGUACGGCCGCAAGGCUGAAACUUAAAGGAAUUGGCGGGGGAGCAC